rnacentral:rRNA from 1 species
ACACGUAGGGGGCGAGCGUUGUUCGGAAUCAUUGGGCGUAAAGGGCGUGCAGGCGGUCGUGCAAGUCCGGCGUGAAAGACCCCGGCCCAACCGGGGGGACGCGCUGGAAACUGCAGGGCUUGAGUACAGGAGGGGAUGCCGGAAUUCCAGGUGUAGGGGUGAAAUCUGUAGAUAUCUGGAAGAACACCAAUGGCGAAGGCAGGCAUCUGGCCAUGUACUGACGCUGAGACGCGAAGGUGCGGGGAGCAAACAGGUUUAGAUGCCCUGGUAGUCCGCACAGUAAACGAUGUGCACCAGGUGGCGGGGGGUCGACCCCCGGUACCGUAGCUAACGCAUUAAGUGCACCGCCUGGGGAGUAUGCUCGCAAGGGUGAAACUCAAAUGAAUUGACGGGG